rnacentral:snRNA from 1 species
ACAAACUCAAGCAGUUUAAUGAU